UACGAAGGGGCUAGCGUUGCUCGGAAUUACUGGGCGUAAAGGGAGCGUAGGCGGACAUUUAAGUCAGGGGUGAAAUCCCAGGGCUCAACCUCGGAAUUGCCUUUGAUACUGGGUGUCUUGAGUAUGAGAGAGGUGUGUGGAACUCCGAGUGUAGAGGUGAAAUUCGUAGAUAUUCGGAAGAACACCAGUGGCGAAGGCGACACACUGGCUCAUUACUGACGCUGAGGCUCGAAAGCGUGGGGAGCAAACAGGAUUAGAUACCCGGGUAGUCCCU
rnacentral:rRNA from 1 species